rnacentral:SRP_RNA from 9 species
GGCCUGGACCUAUGCGGUCAGAACGCCUAAACCUUGUCAGGACCGGAAGGUAGCAGCAACACGGGAUGCUUCUGAUAGGCGUGGAAUCCGGGUCACU